rnacentral:lncRNA from 1 species
CUAAGAGAUAGACAGAAAUACAGACAGAAAGAGUUUGGAUACCUGCAGUGCAUUUACCUCUACUGGCAGAUAAGUCCCUAUCCAGCUCCUCACUCCCCCACAGAGGGAUGAGGGAGAGAAUCAAAGGGCAAAAACACAGGUAAAAAAAGUUCAUGGGACAAAAUUAAAUCAGUUUUGUAAGUGAGAAGGGAGAAAGAAGAAGUCAUACAAAGACAAUUACUAGCUAUCAGUAGAUCAGCAUUUCUUAGGCAACAGCUACUUUGGGAAAAUCUCCUUUUAGUUUAGCAUGAUAUCCUGCGGUAUGGAAUACCCUUUGGGCCAGUUCAUGUCAGCUGUCCCAGCUGGGUCCUCUCCCAGCGCUCUGCCCACCAUCAGCCUAUGCACUGGGACAGAGGAGUAAGAAAUAGAGGUCUUCUGUACUGUGAGCAGUGUGCAACAGUAGGUAAACCAUCAGUAUGUUAUCAGCACUGAUUGGAUCAGCCCUCUAGAACACAUCAACAUAUGGCUACAGUGAAGAAGGCUGUUUCCAUCCCAGGAAAAUCCAGUACAAUGCCUCUCAUGGAAUAGGUAUAUAUGCUCUUUCUGGAAACUCACACAGGACAGCAUUAUUUUUGUCCAUUAUCAGUUGCACAGAGCUGGUUUAGCACACUGAAGGUAUUCCCUGGCUAGAACCAGGUAUCUUUUGGUAUUACUCUUCUUAUCCAUAGUCUUAAAAUUUCAGAUUGUAGCUAGUCAUUCAUACAGGUAAGGGAGGACUCAUUUGCUCUACAAAAUAGAAAGAAAAUACACACAGAGAUCAUGAAAAUAGUCUUCUUUUUUUUUUUUUUUGUCUUUUUUAAAGAAGCUUACGUUGCAUUCAAAUUGGUGAGAGCCCACUUGCCUGAAUAUGCUUUAAAAUAUCCCAUGUCUCUGUAUGUUUAGAUUUGUUCUCUAAUUCCAACUAACUUUGGGCAGAGAUGAGAUACGAGAUACUUCUACUUUUAUGAACAUCAAAAAGACAUCUGAAGAUCAAAAAGUGCCAAAUAAUCCUUUCGGAAAGUGGAUUAAAAC